UGCAUGUAGUUUAGAGAUUGGCUCCAGAGAUAGGAUCUACCUAGACUGGGAAGCAAAGCCUAAUUUGUAUUCAGAGGAGUGGUGCUUGAGCUCUAAUCUCAUACUCCCCAAGAGUUUUAUAAUGUGGGAUUUUUUGAAUUUUCUGCUUAAGGCAUCAAGGAUAUGGUGUCAGACAGUCUUUCUGAAGGGAAAAAAAGGAAAGGUUGUUUUCUGUUUCUUUUUCCCAGAGGCACUUAGUGUUGUAUGUUUUUGUUCUGGACUUGCCUUCUAGUUCUCUGCAAAUGUAUCUCCCCAUCUUUUCUCUGCUUCCUGGCUAGAGGAAACAUGUGAGGUGGAUCCGACAAGCAGUGCUUUUUUCUGGCUCUGUGGGUUCCUGUUUCAUGCCAAUGACACUUGGUGGAGCCUGGCUGCCAGACCAAAUGGUUUGUAGCUGCCCUGCUGACAGUGUUGCCAGCAUCGCUGCCUGUAGGAGUGCACUGCCAGCACAGCCUCUCCAUGCCCUGCUGUACAGUCAAAUGUGGAGCUCUGCCUUUUGAGUAGCAGAAUUAGAAAAGGAGUGGACUGAGGUGCUUUGACAAGAUAGGAUCAGAAUUGCUAAGUGGAUCAUGGGACAAAUAUUGCAAAAAGAAGAGCUGCACAGCCUGGGAUUUGACAUUGUGUCCUCUGCUCUGUCAAAUGCCCUUCACCCUGCCUGUACCGUUUUUAACCCAUGGAAACUGAAUGUUUGGGAGUCACAAUGAAUAAUGUCUGUUCUGUAUUUACCAAGCACUUCUGGCUGUUGUAAGGUCCAGCAGUGCUAAAAGCCUGGGAUUUUUUGAAGAAAAUGAGGCUAUGUGCCCAUCUCCCAUUUACAAGCAUGACAUUAAGUGAGGAUUAAACUUUAAACCUUCUGGCAGCCCACUGAAAUGACUAGCCUUAGAUGGAAAAACACCCAGAAAUUCUCAUCAAACAUAUGAUCCUAAGCAAACUGAUGCCAGAUACUGUUCUCAUUAGGAAAAAUAAAAGCCAGAAGUGUUCCAA